UCCUUGAACUCAAAAUGCAUAAUCCAACAAUAAACAUGACAGGUUAAUCUAACCUACCUAAUAUAUUGAAUGAUAGUUCCAUUUAAUAAUCAGCAAUUAAGUAUUAAAUAAAUUGUCUACAUCUUUAUUCUUUACCAGUUUGCCACAUGUGCACUGUACCUGUGUGUUUAGCAUUAGGUAAGUGUAUUUCCGUCAUCAAAUCAAGCU